UCGGGAUAGCUCAGCUGGUAGAGCAGAGGACUGAAAAUCCUCCGUGUCACAGGUUUCA
rnacentral:tRNA from 1 species